ACCAAAGGGUGGUGCUACCUGUGUGGCCUUCGAAAGGACGGGUGACCAUUAGGAUGAGUGGCAUCUUUGUCCUGCUCUACACAAACUUUGGCCUUCAAGUUCGAUAUGACGGAAGGCAUCUGGUGGAGGUGACGGUGCCGUCCUCGUACACUGGCUCACUCUGUGGGCUGUGUGGGAACUACAACAAUAACAGCUUGGAUGAUAAUCUGCGUGCAGACAUGAAGCCGGCGGUCAACUCACUUCUGCUGGGAGCUGCUUGGAAAAUCCUUGAAGCCUCUGAUCCUGGGUGAGUUGGGUAUAGGAUCUUGGCCUAGGUGAGCUGAGCCUGGGUGAGCUGCACUUGGGUGAGCUAGGCCUGGUGAGGGCCGAGCCUUAGGGAACUAGGCCUAGGGGGAAUGGACAGACAGAGAUGGACAUGGUGCGGUCUGAGCACGGGGGAGUUGGGCAUCUGAUAAGUUAGGUCUAGGGAAACUGGUU
rnacentral:lncRNA from 1 species